rnacentral:rRNA from 1 species
CGUACUGAGACACGGACCAGACUCCUACGGGAGGCAGCAGUGAGGAAUAUUGGGCAAUGGAGGCAACUCUGACCCAGCCAUGCCGCGUGCAGGAAGACGGUCCUAUGGAUUGUAAACUGCUUUUAUACAGGAAGAAACCCUCCCACGUGUGGGAGAUUGACGGUACUGUAGGAAUAAGGAUCGGCUAACUCCGUGCCAGCAGCCGCGGUAAUACGGAGGAUCCAAGCGUUAUCCGGAAUCAUUGGGUUUAAAGGGUCCGUAGGCGGUCUUAUAAGUCAGUGGUGAAAUCCCAUCGCUCAACGAUGGAACUGCCAUUGAUACUGUAAGACUUGAAUACUUAGGAAGUAACUAGAAUAUGUAGUGUAGCGGUGAAAUGCUUAGAUAUUACAUGGAAUACCAAUUGCGAAGGCAGGUUACUACUAAGUGAUUGACGCUGAUGGACGAAAGCGUGGGGAGCGAACAGGAUUAGAUACCCUGGUAGUCCACGCCGUAAACGAUGGAUACUAGCUGUUCGGAGCAAUCUGAGUGGCUAAGCGAAAGUGAUAAGUAUCCCACCUGGGGAGUACGCACGCAAGUGUGAAACUCAAAGGAAUUGACGG